UACGUAGGGGGCUAGCGUUAUCCGGAAUUACUGGGCGUAAAGGGAGCGCAGGUGGUUUCUUAAGUCUGAUGUGAAAGCCCACGGCUUAACCGUGGAGGGUCAUUGGAAACUGGGGAACUUGAGUGCAGAAGAGGAAAGUGGAAUUCCAAGUGUAGCGGUGGAAUGCGUAGAUAUUUGGAGGAACACCAGUGGCGAAGGCGACUUUCUGGUCUGUAACUGACGCUGAGGCACGAAAGCGUGGGUAGCGAACAGGAUUAGAUACCCGGGUAGUCCCUGAGCGGGCU
rnacentral:rRNA from 1 species